UUAGGGAGUGACAGCACAAUCAACCAAUUAGGUUUCGAGUUCCAUUUUGAUGGGCGGCAUUUAGAAAGGCUUAUUUUAUUUUUAAAAUGUGUGAAAAUUCACUGUUAAUAUCGGCGAAAAUGACAUGAAAGAGGAGUUUCACCCAGUAUUUAGCCAUAAUAGAAAUAGAUACUCAGAAGACUGUUUAAAAUCCUUAAAUCAUGCUUUUAUUUCUUGUUUUUACUUUUCACUCUGAGCGCCGCCAUGUUGAAGUGACGUCAUGGAAUCGCAAUCGUGACAGCUCUUGAGAAACUCUGACUUUGCAAGUAGGAUUCAGAGAGUUGGAGAGCUGUUAAACUUAUCUUUCCCACUUGGUCAUGAAUGCUGCAUAAAUCUAUCACGGUACAGUGAUACAUGGGACAGAAGGAGCAAAUAGUGGAUUUGGGAUUUGCUGAUGGAGAAAAUGAAAGAAUUAGGAGCAGGCCUUCACUGGCCCUGUUGGCAUCGACUAUUUGCGAUCGGCGUGCUCACCCGUAGCCAGCGACAGGCGAGCUGUUCCUCCGCUGGUUCAGGAGAAUCCCGUCUGUCCCGGCGCUGAGCAGUCAGUAUAGAGCUGGGUGGGAGGAGGCCGCCCCCUGCCCCGAUCGGUAGAAAAAACUGGAAACCUGGAGGACGUGGAGGAGGAGAAGCCUCACCCUCCAGGAAAUUGCAUCAUACGGCAAUGCCUUCUGGGUAAGUUCUCUUACUGAAAUCUAGACUGAUGAUUCAAUCCCUCAGGCAUCCAAGAACCUCUUCUAACAAACUUCCCUUCAGCUGAUUAUGUAUGGGAUCUGUCUAGAACACGGCAAUGGGGAUUCAAGAACAAAUUAAGGAGAAUGUGUUAAAACCAAUAUUGGAACACAGCCCAGGAGGGAGUGUGUUUAAUUUCCCUCUUGUCUGUGAUGGGUGUGUGUUAAAGCUCACCCUGGCCUGAGGGGGCGACAAGGGACCGCAGCUGGAAGAGGAGUGUUGAGGAGAGGGAGGAGAUGAGGGACACACACUGAGGUCUGGUUUUGAGGAUGUGGGAGAGUCCACGAUGUCUGCAAACACAAAAAACAGGAAUAAAAGCCCAGCUCUUUGUAAUGUGCGUAUAUGUAUUAUGUAAAACAAUAUUUAAAUCCUAUUGGAAUUUUAAUAAUAUUUACAUAUUCAAAGGAGAAAAAUCAAAAUUUGAAUGCAAAAGAUCCUAUUUUCUACUGUUAGGCUGUUAAAAUAUGUUUUGCUUAAGUCUAAGCAAAGGGUUCUGAAUAAACCUAUACAUUUAUGGCAUAUUUUAUGCUUUCCCACAUUUAUUUUUUAAUAAAAGAUACUGUAUAUUAAAAAAAUUACCCAGUAUUAAUCCUACACUUGGUAUAACAUGUAAGUAGGUUUACAGUUUCAAGCAGGCACUUAAUACACCCCAUGCUAUAUUUUAAAUUGAGCUUCUCAAUAUAAACAAACGAGUAAUUUAAACCGCCCGGGAUGGCGUGGUCCCACGGUAACGAGUUUCAUAUCGGACCACCAGCCGCUACUAUGUAGUGAGCGCGUGUAGUGAGCGCUGGGGCUUUAACCACACAGUACUAACAGAAAAACAGAUAAAUAAUUCUGACAUUUCUUUCAAGAAAACAGUAGAACGCACAAGAGUACUAUAUAAUUUCUAAAACACUAAAGUGCACAUCUGUAUUCGGGCGUAACUACAGACUUGCAUAUGAGAUACAGGGCGGAGACUGAGUAAAUCAGAGGCGUAUUUCAGUUAAGCACGAUUCCGAACCGUGAACUAAUGCUAGUGUUUCCUGUGCAAUAUUGAUUGAUUGAGAAGCAGAGAAUGCCAGACGAGUGUGUGCUUGGUCUUAGGGCUACCGGUAUGUUAAUUAUAAACUUAUUUAUAUUUAAAUCCAUUCAGAUUUUAUUCAAAUGCAAUUUGACAGCCCUAAUACGUAUAUGAUUUGUGUGUGUGU